rnacentral:rRNA from 1 species
AUUGAACGCUGGCGGCAGGCUUAACACAUGCAAGUCGAGCGGAGAUGAGGUGCUUGCACCUUAUCUUAGCGGCGGACGGGUGAGUAAUGCUUAGGAAUCUGCCUAUUAGUGGGGGACAACAUUCCGAAAGGAAUGCUAAUACCGCACACGUCCUACGGGAGAAAGCAGGGGAUCUUCGGACCUUGCGCUAAUAGAUGAGCCUAAGUCUGAUUAGCUAGUUGGUGGGGUAAAGGCCUACCAAGGCGACGAUCUGUAGCGGGUCUGAGAGGAUGAUCGACCACGAUUGGCAUGAGACACGGACCAGACUCCUACGGGAGGCAGCAGUGGGGAAUAUUGGACAAUGGGGGGAACCCUGAUCCAGCCAUGCCGCGUGUGUGAAGAAGGCCUUAUGGUUGUAAAGCACUGUAAGCGAGGAGGAGGCUACUGGGACUAAUACUCUUGGAUAGUGGACGUUACUCGCAGAAUAAGCACCGGCUAACUCUGUGCCAGCAGCCGCCGUAAAAC